rnacentral:lncRNA from 1 species
CCUUGACUUGAGUAUAAGACGAGUGGGGGUUUUUCAGCACAAGUAUAUACGGUAGUUAGAAUUCAAAGUGAAUUCAAAGAUAAUUUCAAAUUUAAGGAUAAAAUAGUCGAACUGGACUUUUUCCUAUUUGACUAUUUUGGCUUUAUAUUUGAAAUUCACUUUAAAUUUACUUAGAAUAACACUGAAAGUAUUAUCUCUUUUAAUGUAGCUAGUCAUUUAGUUAGCUGUUCCUUUUGAUCUUGAUAUUUUAAUUGAUCUUAAUUCUGAAGUCUAUUAUAUAUGUUUAAAGUUGGCAAGCAUAAUUAUUAAGAAAAACUUUGUAUACUAAAUAUGUUUUUGAGCGCCUGUUUUCCUUGUCGUUUAUAUUUACUUACUCACUGGGGUAAUAUUUGCUUCCCAUUGUACUGCUGAUACUGUUUAACUUGGUCUGUUUGCUAUUUGACAUUGGGAGCAUUAGCCCAACUACACUCACCAAUGCUGUUCAGUCACAUUAACGUUUGUCAGAUUAGUUCCUAUCUGAAGUCAUGUGACAGAGAUAAUUGGCACAGAUAGGUUAAAAUAUUUAUCACCACAGAUUUUUAAAAUAUUAAUGUGGAGAUUAUUGAUGCUGAAGGAUAAAAUGGCAGAAAGCAAUAAGUGAGGAUAGAUAGUGUUUAGCAAAUAAAGCUUUAUUUUUCUUUUAUAAGAGCAGAAUUUUCUAACUUUAUGAUAAAGAUAGACAUCAGACAAAAAUGGUGCUACAUAUUAGCUAAGAAAUAUAUAGUGUCAUGUUGAGGAAAACUUACAAGUCUAUCAAAAAACAAAACUUUGAUAGACUUGUAAGAACAUAAUGCAGAAAUAUAGUUCAGCUAUUCUAUGAGACACAUUCCUUCUCAGGAAGAAAUCCAAAUGGACCAUCCAUGUGAAUGGCUGCAAGAACAGUAUUGUAAGGCGCCUUCGGCAGUCUUAUGGAAUAACUUAAUAUGGCACUCGAAACAUGUUUGUACCUGUACCUUAUGCAAAAGAUACAGCCUUGUUUGUUUUGUAUACUGUAUUAGCAUUAUAUGUUUGUUAAUAAGGGUGAGAUUAUGUUACUUGAGGUAAUAAUAGUAUUGUUCAUUAGUUAAACGUCACUAAUGUGUAUGAAAAACAAUAUUUAAUUACCAGCGAUAUAUGUAUCUUAGGUGAAGAUAUUCAGCCCUUGGAGUUUUGGGAUCAUGUACAAUAUAGUAUGUUUUGUUAUUAUUUGAUUACAAUAAACGUCAAUGUUUAGCCAUGGUUACACCUUAAUGUGUUUUUUUGUUGUUGAAAAAGGUAACUAACGGAUUGUUUAUUAUAGAAUCCUGAAGAUUACGGAGCACAGAACACAGAGUGAUGCAACAAGCAUAUACCUGCAGACUGUAUAUCAUUCGUAGCAAAAGCACGCUCUUAUAGAACUCUUUACUAGGUUUCAAAUCAGUGCAGGCAUAUUUAUACAGGAUAGGAAAAGCAAUAUGGAAGAAUGUGUCCCUUGCCCUUUCGACUUGUUUUUUUCUUUGCAUAGGCAUUUGGAGAGUGAGUUUAUCCAUAUGUUCCAAAAGAGGUUAUUUAAGCCACUGCUUAAAGGGACACUAUAGUCAACAGAACAACAUCUUAUUGUAUUUGUUCUGGUAAGUAUAAUCAUUCCCUUCAGACUUUUUGCAAUAAAAACUGUUUUUGUCAGAGAAAAUGCAGUGUUUACAUUGCCCAGUAGGGAUACCUCCACUGGCCACUCCUCAGAUAGCUACUAGAGGUGCUUCUUGGGGCAGUACUGCACAGUGUGCAGCACUGUUAUUCAGUGUCUCCACACUGAAUCUCAACGUCAGCAGCCCCCACCCAGAUAUUGCAAAACUUCACAACACAUUUCUAAACCACAGCCCUACCUCACCGCACUAUUGUAACUUUAAUGGCUAUAUUGCCCAUUCAUCUACACAAUACAAAAGCCCUAAAACUAUCACUCCCACACCACAAAGAUUGUGAUAUGCGUAUAAAAAUUAUGACACAAUCAAAUCACCAAUUCACUAUAAUCACACUAAUAGAUAUCAGCUACUUUCUGUGGACUCUGAAAUUGAAAAUGAAGACUAUUUUUUAGAAAUUCACACACAGACAAAUGCACAAGCUCAGACCCCCUAUCUAUCAAGAGUAAGGAAAAGAAGUUUAGAGGAAGGAGAAGUAGGAGAAGAUCAGAAAAGAGAAAGAUUAGAGAGACAGUAAUCAACAUUAAUGAAAAGGAAAAGUUUUAUCAUCCACUCAGAUAUCUGUUUUAACUAAAGGUCUUAAAUUUGCCCCCACAAAUGCUUUUAAAUCCUUUCAGGCUUUUAAGGAUGUCCACAAACACCCUCCCCCACCACACCUUGACCACCCUGUCAAGUAGGAAGGAAUCUUCCCUGGCUGUUUGAUUGAGAGCUAGAGGUGAGUUCCCUAAUUAAUUUAUAAAAUGUCUGAUUUCUCAUAGAAACUGGGGUUAAACUAUCAUACUCCUCACCCAUAAAGCACUUAAGCAACCUGAAGUGCUUUUGGGGUGUGGGGUGGUCCUUUAAAGUGGCAAACAAGACUGGAACUUAAAAAUAACCAUUCUAUAAAUAAAUGCAUCAUAAUGCAUUAGGAAUAUAUAGAACAACAACUAAUCCAAUAUCUAAAACAAUACAAAGGUUACUCAUAGUUUCUGCAUUUGCACUGGUUUUCCAGGCUUUCAAUAAACUGUACCUUACAACAAGAAUGAAUCAAUCAAGACAUAUUAACAAAUUCUGUUUGGAACUUUUCAAAGUGUUGACUUCUUUACAUAAAUGUCUGCACAGCAAUACUUUAUGGGUAGAGAACAGGUUUCUGGAAGUUGUAGUUCAGCUAUCAUACUUUUACUUACAAAAGCUGGUUUCUGACAUACAGCUCCCAGAAACCUUUGCUCUUCUUCAUAAUGACUGGAUACUUUUAAUGGGGGAAAAUAGUGGUUCAGAGGAACAGAAAGCUAGCUAUACUCCUGUGUAGUAGCCAUCACACUAAUAGUAUAUUUACUAAAGAUAAUGAGACAGAGGAGGCAGGAUUAAGAGAAAAUGCUAAACUUUUAUUUAUUUAUUUUUGUUUGGUAGUAGUGCCAGAUGAGUCCUUUUACUUGGAGGCUAAACACUGAAUAGAAAUAAUUUUGGAGAGUAUCUCCAAAGAAAAUGGAAUUUACAGUAGAAUAUAUACUGCAGCAUCUUUAUCUUGAUUUUUAAUUGUUUGCCUACUUCUAGCCCUUUGCAUUGUACUUGUUAAUGUGAAGUGCUUAACCUAUUGUCAAGAACACAUUGUGAAGAAAUGGUUAACAUAUGGUUUACCAAAUGUAACGUAAAUGUGUCUGGAUAAGAUAAUUAUGUAUUUCCAUUUUCUGUUUAGUAAGUACACUUCAUAAUUAAAUUUAUUUCAUUUGUUUAAUUACAGUAAAUAUAUUUGUAGUGCUCUUUAAUGUUUAACAAAAGAUGAAUAUUGAUACAAAAAAUAAUUUAUCUUUCAAGUUUAUUGAAAUGCGUGUGCAAUUAUAAUUAUAAGAACUAAAUAAAGAAG